UACGGGGGGGGCAAGCGUUGUUCGGAAUUACUGGGCGUAAAGGGCUCGUAGGCGGCCAACUAAGUCAGACGUGAAAUCCCUCGGCUUAACCGGGGAACUGCGUCUGAUACUGGAUGGCUUGAGUUUGGGAGAGGGAUGCGGAAUUCCAGGUGUAGCGGUGAAAUGCGUAGAUAUCUGGAGGACCACCGGUGGCGAAGGCGGCAUCCUGGACCAACACUGACGCUGAGGAGCGAAAGCCAGGGGAGCAAACGGG
rnacentral:rRNA from 1 species